rnacentral:lncRNA from 10 species
CCCACCCUCAUCCCGGCACGUGAUGACGUAGGACGUAAGGACGCCCCCCCCCGCCGGUAGCCAUCUUCGUGCAUAGCUUGCAACACCAUGAAAAAAUUACUGAGACACUAGGAAUGCUGUGAACUGAGAAAGUUUGGGACCUUUGGCAUAACUAAAUCCUUCAUUUAACAGUGUUGUGAACCACUUGUCAUGGGAUAACCAAAAUUAAACCUGGAAUCGCAGAAGAAACAAAUUUUUUGAAGAAAUUGGAUGUACUUUUUUAAAAUUUUUCAUUCAACUAAAACUUUGUUAACUGUUUCUUGGUUGUGGUCUUCUCUAAAUUGUAAUCUUUGGCAUUCACUUCCAAAGUAUCCACCACUAAACUUCAUAACAUUUAUUGUGUCUCUUCAUCAUUAAACUUUGAUGAAUUUACAGAGUGUCUUUUGAAAUUAUGUUCUUGAGAAAGGUAAGUUCCCUAAAAAUCCCACCACCUCAGGAACAGAAUUUUCUAAAACUGUUGUAUCUACCUAAGUUACCUAUUUUUGUCUUUUGUCUGGAGUCCACUUGUCCUCAAAACAAAAUUAAUGUUGUAUUCCCUUUUGGUCAAGGACACAUUAAACAUUUCGUGCAGCAUGCACAUUUUUCAGGGAUGUAGAAUCAUAAACAAUUAUUUUUAUACACUUCUUAUGACAUAGGGUGACUUUUACAAUGUGCUGUGCUAUUUAAAGUUAAAUGUUCACCACUACAUAUUGUACCUGUGAAAAGAUUAUAGGUUAGCUUUGAUAAUUUAAAAUAUUUUUGCUACAGCCA